GACAAGUAUAUUAUAACAACAACAACAAUAAAGAAUAGAGCCGUUAGGACCCUUAACUUCAAGAAUAAUGAAGCAACAAUAACAACAACAACAAGAGUAUGAGGUGGUAGGGCCGUCACGACCCUUAACUUCAACAAUAACAACAAUUUUAUCUUUUAAAAAUGGUGAAACAAACAUCACAAAAUGGAUUAUAAGAAGCACAACAUCCAGUUUUUCCCCAUCAUAAAUGGACUGCAGAAAAUGGCAUUGUACGAGACAAAGUCUAGGCUGUACUUGAUUGUUCCAACAACACCCAAACAAAGUUCAGAGUGUUAAAAAUUGACCGUACCGAGUCUCACACACUAAAUAUUACCGAUGAUAAGGUAGAAUAUAGCCAAAGACAAAUUAAAGAAUUGUUGGGCAUGAUCAAUGAAGGUAACCGAGCACAGUCUGGUCAACGACAAAUGUUUGGACUAUCAAGAACUGUAUCAGCAUUUGGGAUUGUUGGGUUUGUAAGGUUCUUAGAGGGAUACUACAUCAUCUUAGUGACUAAAAGAAGAAAAGUUGCUGUAAUAGGCUUACACACAAUUUACAAGGUAUGUUAUCUAUUUUUCCUCUGAACUAAAU